rnacentral:rRNA from 1 species
UACCAGCACCCCGAGUGGUCGGGACGUUUAUUGGGCCUAAAGCAUCCGUAGCCGGUUCUACAAGUCUUCCGUUAAAUCCAGCUGCUUAACAGAUGGGCUGCGGAAGAUACUAUGGAGCUAGGAGGCGGGAGAGGCAAGCGGUACUCGAUGGGUAGGGGUAAAAUCCGUUGAUCCAUUGAAGACCACCAGUGGCGAAGGCGGCUUGCCAGAACGCGCUCGAUGGUGAGGGAUGAAAGCUGGGGGAGCAAACCGG